rnacentral:rRNA from 1 species
GAGGUCCCCGGUUCAGUUCCUACGGAGCAGCAGUAGGAUUCUUCGCCAAUGACGAAGGUCUGACCGAGCACGCGCGUGAGGUGGAUGAGUUUUCGGAUCGUAAACUCUGUUGUCAGGGAAGAACAGUACCGGAGUACUGCCGGUACUUUGACCGGUACCUGACCAGAAAGCACGGCUACUACGUGCCAGCAGCCGCGGUAUACGUAGGGUGGCAAGCGUUGUCCGGAAUUAUUUGGGCGUAAAGCGCGCGCAGGGCGGUUCCUUUAAGUCUGAUGUGAAAGCCCCCGGCUCAACCCGGGGAGGGGUCAUUGGAAACUGGGGAACUUGAGUGCAGAAGAGAAGAGUGGAAUUUCCACGUGUAGCGGUGAAAUGCGUAGAGAUGUGGAGGAACACCAGUGGCGAAGGCGACUCUUUGGUCUGUAACUGACGCUGAGGCGCGAAAGCGUGGGGAAGCAAACAGGAAUUAGAUACCCUGGUAGUCCACGCCGUAAACGAUGAAGUGCUAAGUGUUAGAGGGUUUCCGCCCUUUAGUGCUGCAGCAAACGCAUUAAGCACUCCGCCUGGGAAGUACGGCCGCAAGGCUGAAACUCAAAGGAAUUGACGGGGGCCCGCACAAGAGGAAAAGCAUGUGGUUUAAUUCGAAGCAACGCGAAGAACCUUACCAGGUCUUGACAUCUCCUGACAACCCUAGAGAUAGGGCGUUCCCCUUCGGGGGACAGGAUGACAGGUGGUGCAUGGUUGUCGUCAGCUCGUGUCGUGAGAUGUUGGGUUAAGUCCCGCAACGAGCGCAACCCUUGAUCUUAGUUGCCAGCAUUCAGUUGGGCACUCUAAGGUGACUGCCGGUGACAAACCGGAGGAAGGUGGGGAUGACGUCAAAUCAUCAUGCCCCUUAUGACCUGGGCUACACACGUGCUACAAUGGAUGGUACAAAGGGCUGCAAGACCGCGAGGUUAAGCGAAUCCCAUAAAACCAUUCUCAGUUCGGAUUGCAGGCUGCAACUCGCCUGCAUGAAGCCGGAAUCGCUAGUAAUCGCGGAUCAGCAUGCCGCGGUGAAUACGUUCCCGGGCCUUGUACCCACCGCCCUCACACCACGAGAGUUUGUAACACCCGAAGUCGGUGGGGUAACCUUUGGAGCCAGCCGCCUAAGGGGACCGGGGGUC